GCCUCUUGUAUCUGAGCAGCGUUGACCCAUAUUCAUUUCCUGAAGCGGGAAGGUUAGAGAUGUGCUACUAAAUUGGAUUAUUAAAAGUUUAGAAAUGAAGAAUAAUUCCUGGCUUGUUGAACAAGAAAUAACAGUCUUCACCUUUCUUCCAAUUUGGAUCCCUGGGCUAUCUGCUUCCACAAUGAAUCCAGUAAAGGCUUUGCUUGCCGGAGUUUUUGGAUCUGGACUGGUACGUGCUAGCAAAAAAUA